UCUGAGACUUUUAGCAUGAAGUGGUGUU
rnacentral:piRNA from 1 species